GUUAGUGUUAGGGAACAGGACUGCUGCUCUCCGUCUGCAGUAUGAGACCACACCCGCGGGCAUGUGUGCCUUGGAACAAAAGAUCUUUCACCUGCAGCCAGUCUGAAGGCUCCCCACUCCCCAUCCAUGCAAAAGGAAAAGUCUGGACUGGGCUGGACUUUUCAUCUCCAAAUCCAUUGGCAAAAAACCAAAGGCAAGUGUUCGCCUGUAUCACACCCUGCUGGAGAUAACCCCUUGCUGCAAGUCAUCCAAACCACCUGUCCUCCUGGUAUCUUACCUCUUGGCUCAUCUUCAUGUCUUGAAUGUGAUCGGACAAAAACUGCACACAGGUCUCCAGGUCGAAAUAGACAAACCAGAGCUGGGAACAGAAGCAGUCAUGAUCACAGAGGACAAAGCCUGCCUGACCUCGAACUCUCCAUCCCCAAGCCAGGCCUCACCGCCUGCCUCCUCCCCACAGGCCUGCCCUUCUGGGUAUGAGCAGAUUCACCCUGGUCUCAGACGGGAGCCAUUCUGCUGUCUCUCAGAGUUCCCCUACAUGGCCGAUCCCCUUUGGAUGACUGGCAGACAAAUGGCUUUGUGUGCAAAAUUUGGAAAAUGUCAAACCCUGCCCUGAAUGGCUGAAGUCCCAUCUCUCUCAAGUCACUGAACAUCCCGGAUAAACUGUGGACCAUCCUGGACAUCACAUAUCCACCUGGGAUGAACACAUCCUCAGUACCUAGAACAGUGCCUGGCACAAUGUGGGCUCUUAGUAAGUAUUUUGGGGAUGUACAGGUCAUGUGCCCAAUGGGCUUCCUACCAAAGACCACCUGUCUCGGGCUCCCACUGGGUGAGAUGUGGGUGUGACACUGACUGAGGAGAUGCACCAAUCCCCCUGGCAGAGCCCAGCCAGGAUCAGGAGCCCUGAGCCUCAUCCAGCCCAGCUGUGUCCCAGACCCACUGCGUGACCUCCUUCCGCUCGCUUCAGAUCUCGCAUUUCCCUGGAGCCAGGGAAACAAGCAAGCUAGGGGGACACGGCCUUCAGGGUCUGACCUGCCUCUCCAGGGACCUCAUCUGAGCACUGAGGGCUUGAAGCAGGGGAGGACCCAUCUCUCUGGCGAAUAAAUGUGGAAUGCGGAAUGUGGCUUGGCUUCCUUCAAGCUGUCCUUCCAGCCCUGCCUCGUGGAGGUUCUAGGCUGCCGCUGACCGCCCCGAGAGGCGUCUCCAGAAGGGAACACAGGAGCAGGGAGGAAGGAAGCGCUGCCGACGCUGUCUCUGUUAGCAGACCCUGGCAGCCAGCACUGCACAGGCCGGGCGAGCCAGCCUCAAAGCUCCCACAGGAGGGUCGCUUGGUGACG